rnacentral:rRNA from 1 species
GCGGCAUGCCUUACACAUGCAAGUCGAACGGUAACGCGGGGCAACCUGGCGACGAGUGGCGAACGGGUGAGUAAUGCAUCGGAACGUGCCCAGUAGUGGGGGAUAGCCCGGCGAAAGCCGGAUUAAUACCGCAUACGACCUACGGGUGAAAGCGGGGGACCGUAAGGCCUCGCGCUAUUGGAGCGGCCGAUGUCGGAUUAGCUAGUUGGUGGGGUAAAGGCCUACCAAGGCGACGAUCCGUAGCUGGUCUGAGAGGACGACCAGCCACACUGGGACUGAGACACGGCCCAGACUCCUACGGGAGGCAGCAGUGGGGAAUUUUGGACAAUGGGGGCAACCCUGAUCCAGCCUUGCCGCGUGCGGGAAGAAGGCCUUCGGGUUGUAAACCGCUUUUGUCAGGGAAGAAACGCGUCGGGCUAAUACCCCGGCGUAAUGACGGUACCUGAAGAAUAAGCACCGGCUAACUACGUGCCAGCAGCCGCGGUAAUACGUAGGGUGCAAGCGUUAAUCGGAAUUACU